CACGUAGUUAGCCGUGGCUUUCUGAUAAGAUACCGUCAAGACUGUAGCAGUUACUCUACAAUUUGUUUUUCUCUUAUAACAGAGUUUUACGACCCGAAGGCCUUCUUCACUCACGCGGCAUUGCUCCGUCAGGCUUUCGCCCAUUGCGGAAGAUUCCCUACUGCUGCCUCCCGUAGGAGUUUGGGCCGUGUCUCAGUCCCAAUGUGGCCGAUCACCCUCUCAGGUCGGCUAUGCAUCAUCGUCUUGGUAGGCCGUUACCCCACCAACUAACUAAUGCACCGCAAGGUCAUCUAUAAGUGACAGCAGAGCCGUCUUUCAAUCUCCUUCCAUGCGGAAGAAGAUAUUAUGCGGUAUUAGCACCCGUUUCCGAAUGUUAUCCCCCGCUUAUAGGUAGAUUCCUUACGUGUUACUCACCCGUUCGCCGCUAACGUCAGAAGUGCAAGCACUUCAUCUGUUCGCUCGACUUGCAUGUAUUAGGCAUGCCGCCAGCGUUCGUCCG
rnacentral:rRNA from 1 species